GGCUGCACCGAGGUGCCGUGGUGUAGGGUUGCACUGGUGUGUCCUCUCUCCGAGGGGAUGACAGAGACGAGCUUUCCCCCCUGCCUCCACACGGCUGUGCUGUGGGCUGCUGUUAGCACAACUCAACUCACCCUUCUGCUGAUUCAAGAUCAAAUACACAAACUUACAUAUCCUUUCAACAAUGUUGCAGGGACUUUGACCAUUUACAAGAUGCCUUCAUCGGUUAUCAUGCUUUAGACACAAAGGAUCUCCCACAGAUACUCAAUUGGAUAAGGAUCUGGUUACGGUGAAGGCUAUAGUAUAUGAUAGACUUAAUUUUCAUCCUUAUCAAUCUAAACAGUAAGAAUCAUACCCAGUGGAUUGGGGAGGAGUCAUCCAGGAAGAGACUGCGCUCGUCAGAAAUGUUGAAUCAAAGGAUAAAGGUGAUCUGUCAGAGCAACUUUGUAUUGAUUUGCAUUUCCUCUAAUGGGAAAAGUGGACACAAACUAUGCCAGCAAAAUGCCCCCCACAGCAUAACCAAGGCUCCGGUUUUAACUUUAAUUUGUCACCCAUUUCUAGCUAAAUAUUAGCAAUGUCAAUAAAACAUUGCUGUGGGUAAAUAAAUAAAAAAGAAUCUUACACUUAUGGGGAAAAAAUUAUAUUACCUUCUCUUGUUUUUUUGCUUGAGAGAUGACACUUUCACUCUUCAUAGCUUAUGUGAUACAAAUCUUAAGUACUUCUGUCCUUGGCAGUAUAACAGUAUACACUAAUUAAUAUUCAAGUGUACUUUUAUUGCAGAGAAUUAAUAUUUAAUCGCAACAUUUACAGAAUUAGCAUUCCUAAUACAGAGAAUGAUCUAUUGUGUUAACUGAUAUUUUUAUACUUGCUAUCAAAAUAUUUUUUUUGUUUGUUUGUUUGUUUCUUUCUUUCUUUUGGUCUGUUUUUUUAAAUUCCCACAGGAACGUGUGGACUUCUAAAAUUGAACUUUUAAGGACGUAUCUCAUGGACACAUACUCCAUUCUCCUCUGCUUUUAGUGCAUUGAAGACAUGAUGAAUAUUGUACUGAAAAAAAGCAGUUUGAUUCAUUUAAUUUGCAAGGACCCUUAUCUGCAAAUGCUUUUCAUAUCCAAAUGCACAUUAUUCAUUUUUCAAAGUGACAUCAGAGGAGAAGCACAAUAUUUACAUGAGAGGUGUCAAAUCUUUUAACCUUUAUUCAUUAAAUAUUAUCCGAUUUUGUUCUUUACUUUUUAAGCAUGAUCUUUUUUUUUCUUUUUCUUUUCUUUUUUUUUUUUUUUUACAUAUGUUCAAGAACAAAUAUAAAUGUAAAAAUUUUCAUCAAAUGUUUAAUUGAAUUCUAAUCAACAGUUGAAUAAUAUUUUUAGGAUGCAUUACAAUGUACAAUAUAAGCGAUUCAAUAUGAUCAACUGAGUAGGAAAAAUUUUACACCUAGAAUAAUACCUGCUUUAAUAGCUGUGUACGGUUUAUACACAUAAUGCUUAGGCUUGUACAGUAAAUAUGAUGACUAAGAGCAUUACAUAUGGGUAGAAAUACCACUAUAUUCUGCAUGCACUCUUUAAUGCACACUGUUGAAUUUGAUCUUUGGUCUGCUUUGAUGUUCUUGUGGUCAGUGUGUGGGUUCCUCUCACUGAAGAUGAUAUAUGUUCAAUAUAUAAAUGACAGUUCACGCUC